GUUCUGGGCUUCUGGCUGCAUUCUAGGAAGAUCAUUCCUUAAAAGAAAUAGCCAUAUGGCUUAUAAGGGACUAUAUCUUAAGACUAUGUGUCUUCUGCAGUUCUUUGCAUAGAGUCAACGUUGAAGGACAAGCAACUUCAAAUUUCCAAGCAACAAAAUUAUGUUCGGGUGGUUUUCUGAAAGCGAGAUCUUAAGAACCACCUGUAUCAGAAUCCCAUGAAGAGCUUGUUUAGUGUGCAAAUUUACAGAUUGUCCCCCCUCAGAAAUGCUCAUUUAGGAGUUCCUGUCCUUUGCGGGGACAUGGAUGAAGCUGGAAACCAUCAUUCUCAGCAAACUAACACAGGAACAGAAAACCAAACACUGCAUGUUCUCACUCAAAAGUGGGAGUUGAACAAUGAGAACACAUGGACACAGGGAGGGGAACGUCACACACCAGGGCCUGUCGGGGGUGGGAGGUGCUAAAAGGAUAAUACCAAGGAAAACUAUGGGUGGGGGCAGUGAAUGGCCAGCAUGCCUAUAAUCCCAGCACUUGAAGCCAGGAGUUCGAGACCAGCCUGGGAAACAAAGCAAGACCCUGUGUCUAAAAAAAUUUUUUUAAAAAUAAGCUGGGCAUGGUGGCACGUGCCUAUAGUCCCAGCUACUCAGCUACUCGGGAGACC
rnacentral:lncRNA from 1 species